CGAAGAAGACAAAGGCAAUUUAAGUAACUGCACACUUACUUUGAAAGGGGAGAUAAUAGGCAUACUUUUCUAUGCAUUUAAGGGCUUAGAGCUUUGUCUCUGCAGUGGAAUUUACAAGGGUUUUAUGUUCCGUAUUUUAAAUGCCACAAGGAGUGGCACUUGGGAAAGUAAAUUUCCUAGAUGCCCACACUGCACGGUGGUCUCUUGGAACAUCUGGAGAUAACAAAAAAGGACCCUUUUGUUUGGGAAAAUGAAUUUCUUUAUGGCUCAGGGAAAUGGCAGUUUUCUCAGGUGAUGUCUGCCAACCACAGCCCCUUCACCCGCUCGUGGCCUUUUGCCUUUCCGAGUGCAUAUUCAACACGGGGAGACGUCCCCAAAUUUGGUAUGAUUGUGGCAAUUCAAAUUAGGGCUGACAAUUGAAAUGAAGCAGGGGUAGGACGCUUGGAACUCUGAUGCCAAAACUGGAGGAAGAGAGCAGAAAGAGACCCUUGGAAAUUCGAGGAGGAUGCCGUAAAGCUUGACCCAGGUUCCCCCUUUUUGUGUUAGCCCAACACACCCUUCUGAAAAAGCAAGGACUCAGUCCAACUCCAGGAGAAGGGUGCUGAGAAAAAAAGGUCAUGGGGUCAGAGGAGAAAGGGCAAUCUGUACUCUCUAUUUCUAAAAGGAGAAAAGGCACAGGCGCCAGUGACUCAGGUCACAGAUAAUCGCCGAAGGAAUGCCAGCCUGCCAAGUCUUUCUUCGAUGCUGGUUACUUGGAGGAACACGGACAGGGCUCCAACAAUUGCUACCAAGAGUGCAAAUGAGUUUAAAAAAAAGAAAAGAAAGAAAAGAAGGAAGAAAAGAGAAAUUAUGACUAUGGCCUUUGACUGAGGAACAUUCUGAAGAUUAUGUCUGUCUAAGAAAAGCAAUGGGGAAACAGUGAGGUGGAAAAGUAAGGCAAUUACCCCUGAAUAAUUGAAAUCUCCAAUCUUACUUUUAUAUUAUCAGUUCAGGGGUUUCCUUAUAUGCUUGAUUUAUUCAGAGAGAGUGAAAUGAAUGCUGUUGAAGAUUAUUGUGAUGCGGCUUUCCAAGAAUCAACGAGGCUUGAAUGUUGAGGACAGACUGCAGAGGGUGCAGGAAGAAAGGCAAUAGAACACCAGAGACCGGGUGGGAAGAUCUUUAUGUGCCAAGAAGUCUGAUCCACUGAACUAUUCCAGGAAACACGCAGUUUGAAUUGGAUUGCCUGACCGCUGAGAAGGAAUUUCUGGAUUAGACAGUUUAUUAGUGGCCGAGUCAGCUUUGAGGGCCUGUCAGUCCUUGCCCUGCAUGCCUGGAGUGAGCGGAGUGACAAGGCAAAGGCUGCUUGAGUGACAGCUGCUGGGAGCCUCUUGGAAUAAUGGCAGAGACAGCAGCCACCUAGAGGCAUCAGCCAAGCCUUAGGCUCCGGAGCCCAAGCUGCACACAGCUGAAAAUGAGGUUUGCUGUCAGCCAGAGCUAUUCACUGAGCACCUUCUACAUGUCUAAACCAGAGCAUUGUUUUGAGAAAGAAUUUGAAGGUGGCCAAUAGCAGCCCCUACCACAGCUUCUCUUACAGCCUCAGCAUUUACUAGCUGGCUAACCUUGGAUACAUAUUACUUCACCUCCCCUUCUCCCACUUACCUCAUCUGUAAAGUGGUGAUAAUGACUCAUACCAAGGAUUACAUGAAUAAAGUUACGCAAAACACUUAGAAUGGUGCCUGGCACACACAAGUACUAGUUUCUAGAGUAACACUUUACCCAGAAGUAAUGUAGCAAAUGGUUAACAAGAUGAUUAGAGGUCAGAAAGAUACAGUUCAGCUCUGCUCUUCAUAAGUGACAUGACUUUGUGUAAGUUACUUGAACUCUCUGAACCUCAGUUUAUCUGUAAAAUAAGGAUAAUAUUGGUACCACUUUGGAGAGGAAUUACGAGGGUGAGAUAAAAGCAGCAGGGUAAGGAGCUUGGUGCCCGGUGCCUUGUGGCUGCUCAGUAACUACGGUGGCUUCUUGUUCUUCCUGUGGCUCACUUCCCUGGGUCCCAGAGAAGGCAGCACAGCCUCCACAGCCCCGCACAGUGGGGCCAAAACUCCCAGCUACAGAGCCUGGGUCAACCUCUCAUCAGCAGAGUCGUUUAAUUCAGACUCGUUUUAUUUAACACUGCAGUGUUUGCCCACACAAAGCUUUUCAGUAUUUUGAAUGAAUUGCCAACAAGUAAAAAUGACAAAAUUUCAUUUUGAAAAUCUACACUUUUCAGUUUCUUUAGAAAAAUAAAAGAUUGCAGAAUUGGGCUGGCAUUCCCACAUGGCCAAUCCUGACUGGAGCUGGGCAGUGGAAGCUCCCUAUAAAACUGCAGUGUCUUGAAUUUAUUGCGUCUCCUACUAUUCCCUAGUGUACCAGCAGCCUUGAGGCUGAACAUCAGUGGCCACUUUUUCUACCUCUCUAUAUUCAUCUUUUAUGUUCCUUGGCCUCAUAGGCAUGUAUGUCAGCAGCUGCUCAUCUUGACUGUUCACUGGAAUUCUCUGCAGACUGGUCCCUACACAAGGCUGCAUGAAAGGAAGUAACUCCUUUAUCCACACUGACUCAGGCUAUUUGUCUGACUGACAGGUGACUCUCCACUGAGAUGAGCACGUCACUGGAGAGCAGUCUGUCACCCAUGAGAUAACCCCAUUCAUUCACUACUCACCCUGAAUCUUCUUCAAUUCCACUUAGGCUAAGAGUAGAGGCUAUAGGACAAGGAUAGGGCUGCUUUACAACCAUGCUUUGGACCUGAGCUCUCUAAUACAUAUUUUAUAGAUUACCAGUUUCUUGAAAUGUGGUUCCUUGUGAGAAAAAUGCCAAACACUUUUGAGAAAUAGUUCAUACAUUAUCCAUCCUAUUGAGGAUUUAUCAGGGCAAAUAAAAGAUUCAGAAGUCCUCUAAAGAAGAAAUUGGUCUACAAUUCAUACAUUUAACAGAUAUUUAUUAACCAUCUACUAUGUGUCAGGCACUGUUCCUCUUGGUAUUGGGGAUUUAGUACUGGCAGAAAAUAUCCCGAACUUAGGUAACUUGUUCUAAAGUGAGUAAAGCAGGAUGCUUCAGCCUGUUUCUAAAUUUAUGUGAUUGUAAAAUGCUGCUGAGAAAUAUUGCUUUACAUAUCAUCCACAGCCUAUUGCUGUUUUCUAGUUCCAGAGGACUUUCACGAGAGGAAGAUGAUGCAAACUUUUCACUAGGCAUAAGAAUCAUGGACCACUCCGGAGCAUUUCUCAGCUGGAGAAACACACAAUUAUUUUUUUCUUGAAAAAUCAAACAGCCCACUAGGGCAGCCUUAAUUUGGGAAGAACCGCAGCCCACCUGGGACCUCCAAUUUGGCCAAUGUUUCUGAGAACAUCAUAUUAGGAGUUGACUUUCACUUCCAAAGCAGAGCUGCUUUUCUCUACCCCUAAUAUAACCCAGUUGCAAAUGUAUUUGUUUUUCACUGUUUAAUCUUCUGCAUCAGCCACUGUUGAUUAGAUCUAAUUAAUUUAUGUUUCUAAUGAAUUUAGAAACUCCAGUGCUGUAGCAGGAACAUUUUCAGACAGCAUCUGGCCACUAAAUGGAUUGAUUACCUUGUCUGCAGAAGUCUUUCAAACAUCUGGGGCCUGAUUUUGUGAGGCAUCCAGAAGCUUUUUCAGAGGCAAGAAAACCCUCACCAAAUAUUGAGGGGAGAAAGAGAAGAUGCUAGAAAUAGGUAGGGUUUGCUUUGAUUUACAAAUCUGGAUCCUGGCACUCCUCCAAGAUGAAAUCACAUUUUGUUGUUCAUUGGCAUGGUUUCAAUGACACCAAAUAGACUGAUCUGAAUCUAUUUUGUUCAACAUAAUCAGAAUCCACCAGGCCCGAGCCCAGGCUGCCACCCUGUGAACUUCUUUGGCACUUCCUUCUGUAUGGAAGUGCCCACUGAUCGUUAAGAUUAAACAUUUACAGAAAACAUUUAGAGAGGAGCAUUUUGCUCUCAUUCAUUCAACAAACACUUAUCAGGGCCCACUGUGUGCCUGGCCCUGGGCCAUGUGCCCCUCUUCAUUAGCUGCUCUUGGCAACCACCCCAGAGGCUGGACAGGCACUGCUUUCCCCGUUUCACAGAUAGGAUUCAGUGAGAUACAAAAAUGCCAGUGACUAUUAAGGGUAACAUGAGCACUACUAGUAGAGGACACAAAGAUGCAUGUGUUUACACACACACACACACACACACACAAUGAAUGAAUUCCCCCCAGUUACCCAGCUUGCAUCUGGCACUGCCUGCCUUCUAACUGGCUCUUAGCCACUUGGCUUUAUGACCUUCCAGAUACCAUUUAAUGAAGACUACUAUGUGUUAGGCACUAUCCUAGGAGCUUCACUGUGUUAUAUUUUAAUUUAAACCUGCACCUUAUACAGUAAGUAUCAUUAUUCCUAGACAAAGAAGCUCAAGCUCAGAAACAAGGAGAGCUAGCAACAGAGCUCAGGCUUGGCUCAUGUUUGCAGAUGGAUGAAGGCCGCUUGGUGCUUACAGAGUUACCUGCUAACAGAAACUAAAAAACUGGUAUUGGGAAGGGAACAACUUUCUCAAGAUGCACCGGGCUGGCUGGACAAGUCAGGAGAGGGGGUGGCCUGGCUCCUUUGCAAGCCAACCACUCCAGGAAAAGAGAAGCUAAAGAAUGGACAGGGGUAAGUGAAAGAUGUGGGAAUCUCAUUUCCUGAAUGGGUUUUCUGGCUCAAGUUCAAAGGGAAAUGACUGACAACCAGGUGGUUGCCCACAAUAUAAACUGUUAUAAAAAGCCUGUAACGCUGGACAUCUGAAAAUUUCUCAACAACAAACACAGACUGGUCACAAUCAGACUGCCACUGUUCUAUGCCUAUUAAGGAAACUGGUUUGAUUGGUUCUUGUGACAGAAUGCAAUGUACUGAGUCUGGUCCUUCUCUUGUUAGAACAACCACUUAUUUCCUUCUACUGUCUUGCCACUGCCUCAACAUGGACAAUUUCUCUACUUCUCUGGCCCUUUCUAUGUGUUCCCUCUCUCCUAUCCCCAGCUCAAUCUGCCCCUUGUUCUGGCUCACUCCCAUUGGUCAAUCCUCAAUCUCUUCCUCUAGGAAGCCUUUUCUGACUUCCUUAUUGUGGGUUAGGUGACUAUUUUAAGUGUGACCUGUAUUUCUUCCCAUUAUGGGAUUUAUUAUAGUAAUUUAACUGUUUAUUUGUUGGUCUUCUCCUGAGAGCACAUACUUGUCUGAGUCUGGCACCUAAUAGUACCCAAUAAAUAGCGAAGGGGAAGGACUGUGAGCCUCACAAUUCCUUUUCGGCUGGUCUGUUUGAAAUCUCUCAUUUCCACACUUUAUGCUACAUUGCAAAAGUCAUUAAAAUCCCCUUUAAACUUUUGUUGUGUCAUUUACCUUUAUGUAACUUUUCCUGGAACACUUACAUAGAAGUCAGAAUAGUGGUUGUCUCUGGGGACAAAGGGUUAAGAGGGGGCAUGUAGGGUCCAAACCAUUCUACACCUCGAUCUGGGAGUAUGCUUGUGCAAAAAUCAUUGAGACGAACACCAAAGACUAAUGCCCUUCUUGUAAGUAAUUAAUAUCUCAGUAUAAACAAAUCAUUUGAGACCUCCUUGGCUCAGAGUUCAUGGUUCCUCACUAAUUGGCCUAAUUGUUAAUAUACUUGUUCAAAUUCACUUUUUACAAAGGUAGGCAGUGAUCUUCUUGAGCU